rnacentral:rRNA from 1 species
UUUGGAGGGCAAGUCUGGUGCCAGCAGCCGCGGUAAUUCCAGCUCCAAUAGCGUAUAUUAAAGUUGUUGUGGUUAAAAAGCUCGUAGUUGAACCUUGGGCCUGGCUGGCCGGUCCGCCUCACCGCGUGCACUGGUCCGGCCGGGCCUUUCCCUCUGUGGAACCCCAUGCCCUUCACUGGGCGUGGCGGGAAACUGGACUUAAUUA